rnacentral:rRNA from 1 species
GAGAGGACCGGGACGGACGGACCACUGGUUUACCGGUUGUGGCGCCAGCUGCACCGCCGGGUAUCCAAGUCCGGUCAGGAUAAGCGCUGAAAGCAUCUAAGCGCGAAGCCGUCUCCGAGAUGAGACUUCGAUAGAGGGCCGUGGGAGACCACCACGUUGAUAGGCGGGAGGUGUAAAGGCGGUGACGUCAAAGCCGACCCGUACUAAUAGCCCGAAAGCUUCUUGAA